rnacentral:rRNA from 1 species
UGGCUCAGGAUGAACGCUAGCGACAGGCCUAACACAUGCAAGCGAGGGCAGCACAGGAGCAAUCUGAGGUGGCGACCGGCGCACGGGUGAGUAACACGUAUGCAACCUGCCUGUAAGCGGGGAAUAACCCGUUGAAAGACGGACCAAUACCGCAUAAUACUAAAUUACUGCAUGGUAAUUUAUUUAAACAUUUAUGGCUUACAGAUGGGCAUGCGCAUGAUUAGCUAGUUGGAGAGGUAACGGCUCCCCAAGGCAACGAUCAUUAGGGGUUCUGAGAGGAAGGUCCCCCCACACUGGUACUGAGACACGGACCAGACUCCUACGGGAGGCAGCAGUGAGGAAUAUUGGUCAAUGGACGAGAGUCUGAACCAGCCAAGUCGCGUGCAGGAAGAAUUGUCCUAUGGAUUGUAAACUGCUUUUGCAGGGGAAUAAAGUGCAUCACGUGUGAUGUUUUGUAUGUACUCUGCGAAUAAGGAUCGGCUAACUCCGUGCCAGCCGCCGC